CUUAGCUGAGGCUCUUUGGGGGUUCGGAGUAUGAAAACCGGCGGCCACCAUCCUGACCUGUGUGGAUGGGUUAGAAAGGCCAGGAGGGAGAGAGGAAGAGGGCAACCAUCCUGACCUGUGCGGGUGGGUUAGAAAGGCCAGGAGGGAGAGAGGAAGAGGGCAGAAAAGACCCGACCGUGGCGACCCCUGCACAAGCUUGGGGGAAAGACGAGGGGAGAGAAAUGGCUGAGAGAGCGGGGAGAGAAAAACUAGGUGGAAAACCUUCUGGACAAGCCAAGCGAAUCCAGCCUGAACGAAAAGAGACGCCGCUGAGUGGGAAGGAGGACGUUGGCACCCACUCGCUUUGGUGAGAAUCAGAGAAGCAAGAAAUAGGAAGUUGACGGAGAGCCACCGUCCGGGGGAUGGCCAGCGCUAGAAGGAAAUGGAUUCGGAGUUCAUUUAUUUGUUUUAUUUGAAGCUUACCUUCUGUCGUAGAAUUGCUCCUGAGCAUUGGCUCCAAGGCAACAGAGUUGGAAGGGGUUGGAGGUUCAGCGGCUUGCCCAGAGUGGCACAGCUUGGGCGUGUCUGAGGCCAGAUUUGAACCCCAAAACUCGCCUCUGCAGGCCUGGCUCUCUAUUCCUGGAGCCGGCCGGGCUGUCUCUAAUACGGUUUUUUAAAAUGCCAGUCAGUGGUCAGGACCCAAAGGCACCGAGAAGAAAAGUGCCAACUGGGGCAGCUUGAAGGGUGCCCUCUUGGCCUGGACGUUGUCAGAGAGGGCCGCACUGGGGAGGGUGGGAGGACGGACACACGAGUGAGCUCUCUUGCUCGCUGCUGGAGAAGCUUCGGAUGGGUCACAGGUCACAGAGUCAGUCAGCUAGCCUUUGCUGGCGGCUCCUGGGUGCCAGGCCAGGCCUCGGCCUACCAGGGAAGGCAGAAGCCCCCCUAGCCCUCGGGGGGGCAAGGCCCCAGGAAUUUGGACAGAUAGGGGUGAUUGGAGGGUUGGGGAGUCUCAGAGAUGGGGGGCUCCGAGAGGAAGAAGAGGAGGAGGAAGGAAGAGAGAAGGAGGUCCCCUCAAGGGUUGUCCAGUCUGCUCUGUCCGGCCUGUUUCGCCCUCCCUGACCAGCAGGGGCCACUCUCUGGGCUGGCCUCUCUCAGGUUCCGGCCUGGACCUGCAGGAGGCCUGUGCAGGGGUCACGGGCAGCGAGCUAGGGGCUGCUUCUUCCCCUUUCCCGGGCAUGGGCUGGCCCCAGGGCAGCAGGGGGCUGAAGGACAUGACCGAUGCAGAGACUUGUGGCCCUCCUCAGCAGACCUCAGCGGGCACCGGACCCAGGCCCUAGCCCCAGACCUUCCAGGUCCAACCUGAACGUGGCCUUGGAGGAAUGCAUGACUGCCCUGGACCUCUUCCUCACCAACCAGUUCUCCGAGGCGCUCACCUACCUGCAGCCCAAGUAGGAGCCUCACUUGUUGGGGAUGGGGGAUGGGAGGGGGCUCCUCCCUCAGCAGAUGUUUCCAUCUGUGUGAUGGGCAGCACCCAGCAGCCUCGGAGCUUCUUGCCCUCUGCUAUGAAUCAGCUUCCUGGCAGGUCCUUUAACCGCUUGGAGCCUCUGUUUUCUCAUCUGUAAAAUGGGGGAAAUCAUGGCUCCUCCCUCUCAGGGCUGCUGGGAGGAUCAAAUGAGAUCACCCCCCCCAGUACCGAAUGAAUGCUGGGGCUAACGAUGGGACAGUCCCUGCUUGCAGGGGGCUUACGGUCUUCUGGGGGCCGGCACCCACGUACUCACCUCGGGGUCAGGGAGGGCUUCAUGGAAGCAGAGGUACUUGGGUAGAGCUUCGGACGGGAAUGAGGCUUCUGAGGAGGGUCACUGAGGAGGGCAGGCAUCCCAGGCAAGGGGCACGACCUAAGCAAAGGCAAGGAGAUGAGAGAAGGAACGUCAAGAUGAUGAAAUAGUCAGCAGGGCCAUUUUGGACCGAAGGACUAGAGAGGCAAAAAGGCUUAUCCAAAGCUACACAGCCAGUCAUUACCAGGACCAGACUGUCAACAGGAAAGUGAGAGGAGCAGGGGAGAGAGAGAGACAGAAGAGGGAACUGGGGGGGC
rnacentral:lncRNA from 1 species